UACGUAGGGGGCGAGCGUUGUCCGGAAUCAUUGGGCGUAAAGAGCGUGUAGGUGGCUUGGAAAGUCUUACGUGAAAGCCUGCGGCUCAACCGCAGAAGUGCGUGGGAAACUUCCUCGCUAGAGUCCGGAAGAGGAGAGCGGGAUUCCUGGAUGUAGCGGUGGAAUGCGCAGAUAUCAGGAGGAACACCCGUGGCGAAGGCGGCUCUCUGGGACGGUACUGACACUGAGACGCGAAAGCGUGGGGAGCGAACAGG
rnacentral:rRNA from 1 species